GGGCCGUUAGCUCAUCUGGUAGAGCACAUCGUUUGCAACGAUGAGGUGGUCGGUUCGAGCCCGACACGGUCCACCA
rnacentral:tRNA from 1 species